UAUUGGACAAUGGGGGGAACCCUGAUCCAGCGAUGCCGCGUGUGUGAAGAAGGCCUGAGGGUUGUAAAGCACUUUCAGUGGGGAGGAGAGGUUAUAGGUUAAGAGCUGAUGACUGAGACGUUACCCACAGAAGAAGCACCGGCUAACUCCGUGCCAGCAGCCGCGGUAAUACGGAGGGUGCGAGCGUUAAUCGGAAUUAUUGGGCGUAAAGGGUGCGUAGGUGGUUAGAUAAGUUAUCUGUGAAAACCCUGGGCUUAACCUGGGGGAGAGAGAUAAAACUGUUGGACUAGAGUAUGGGAGAGGGUAGUGGAAUUUCCGGUGUAGCGGUGAAAUGCGUAGAGAUCGGAAGGAACACCUGUGGCGAAGGCGGCUACCUGGCCUAAUACUGACACUGAGCACGAA
rnacentral:rRNA from 1 species